rnacentral:rRNA from 1 species
CCCGGCGACCGGCGCACGGGUGAGUAACACGUAUGAAACCUGCCCGUAGCAGGGGGAUAAGCGGAAGAAAUUCCGUCUAAUACCGCGUAACAACCCAUGGAGGCAUCUCUGUGGGUUUAAAGGAAGCGAUUCCGGCUACGGAUGGUCAUGCGUCGCAUUAGCUUGUUGGCGGGGUAACGGCCCACCAAGGCGACGAUGCGUAGGGGUUCUGAGAGGAAGGUCCCCCACACUGGUACUAAGACACGGACCAGACUCCUACGGAAGGCAGCAG